rnacentral:rRNA from 1 species
GUGGGGAAUAUUGGACAAUGGGCGAAAGCCUGAUCCAGCCAUGCCGCGUGUGUGAAGAAGGUCUUCGGAUUGUAAAGCACUUUAAGUUGGGAGGAAGGGCAGUAAGUUAAUACCUUGCUGUUUUGACGUUACCAACAGAAUAAGCACCGGCUAACUUCGUGCCAGCAGCCGCGGUAAUACGAAGGGUGCAAGCGUUAAUCGGAAUUACUGGGCGUAAAGCGCGCGUAGGUGGUUCAGCAAGUUGAAGGUGAAAUCCCCGGGCUCAACAUGGGAACUGCCUCCAAAACUACUGAGCUAGAGUACGGUAGAGGGUAGUGGAAUUUCCUGUGUAGCGGUGAAAUGCGUAGAUAUAGGAAGGAACACCAGUGGCGAAGGCGACUACCUGGACUGAUACUGACACUGAGGUGCGAAAGCGUGGGGAGCAAACAGGAUUAGAAACCCUAGUAGUCC